CUUUUGUAGAAUGAACCGGCGAGUUACGAUUUGUUGCAAGGUUAAGCGGAAAAAGCGGAGCCGUAGCGAAAGCGAGUCUGAAUAGGGCGCAUAAGUAACAGGUCGUAGACCCGAAACCAGGUGAUCUACCCAUGUCCAGGAUGAAGGUAAGGUAAUACUUACUGGAGGUCCGAACCCACGCACGUUGAAAAGUGCGGGGAUGAGGUGUGGGUAGCGGAGAAAUUCCAAUCGAACUUGGAGAUAGCUGGUUCUCUCCGAAAUAGCUUUAGGGCUAGCCUCGAGGUAAAGAGUCAUGGAGGUAGAGCACUGUUUGGACUAGGGGCCCUUCUCGGGUUACCGAAUUCAGAUAAACUCCGAAUGCCAUGUACUUAUACUCGGGAGUCAGACUGCGAGUGAUAAGAUCCGUAGUCGAAAGGGAAACAGCCCAGACCACCAGUUAAGGUCCCCAAAUAUAUGUUAAGUGGAAAAGGAUGUGGGGUUGCUUAGACAACCAGGAUGUUGGCUUAGAAGCAGCCACCAUUGAAAGAGUGCGUAAUAGCUCACUGGUCGAGUGACCCCGCGCCGAAAAUGUACCGGGGCUAAACAUAUUACCGAAACUGUGGAUGAACCUCUUUAGAGGUUCGUGGUAGGAGAGCGUUCUAAGGGCGGUGAAGUCAGACCGGAAGGACUGGUGGAGCGCUUAGAAGUGAGAAUGCCGGUAUGAGUAGCGAAAGAAGGGUGAGAAUCCCUUCCACCGAAUAUCUAAGGUUUCCUGAGGAAGGCUCGUCCGCUCAGGGUUAGUCGGGACCUAAGCCGAGGCCGAUAGGCGUAGGCGAUGGACAACAGGUAGAGAUUCCUGUACCAGUGCUAAUUGUUUAACCGAUGGGGUGACACAGAAGGAUAGGGAAUCGCACGAAUGGAAAUGUGCGUCCAAGCAGUGAGUGUGAGAAGUAGGCAAAUCCGCUUCUCGCGAAGCAUGAGCUGUGAUGGGGAAGGAAAUUAAGUACGGAAGUUCCUGAUUUCACGCUGUCAAGAAAAGCCUCUAGGAAGAGUAGUACUGCCCGUACCGCAAACCGACACAGGUAGAUGAGGAGAGAAUCCUAAGGUGAGCGAGAGAACUCUCGUUAAGGAACUCGGCAAAAUGACCCCGUAACUUCGGGAGAAGGGGUGCUCUAUUAGGGUGCAAGCCCGAGAGAGCCGCAGUGAAUAGGCCCAGGCGACUGUUUAGCAAAAACACAGGUCUCUGCAAAACCGUAAGGUGACGUAUAGGGGCUGACGCCUGCCCGGUGCUGGAAGGUUAAGAGGAGUGCUUAGCUUCGGCGAAGGUACGAAUUGAAGCCCCAGUAAACGGCGGCCGUAACUAUAACGGUCCUAAGGUAGCGAAAUUCCUUGUCGGGUAAGUUCCGACCCGCACGAAAGGCGCAACGAUCUGGGCACUGUCUCAACGAGAGACUCGGUGAAAUUAUAGUACCUGUGAAGAUGCAGGUUACCCGCGACAGGACGGAAAGACCCCGUGGAGCUUUACUGCAACCUGAUAUGGAAUGUUUGUACCGCUUGUACAGGAUAGGUAGGAGCCGAAGAGACGUGUGCGCUAGCAUACGAGGAGGCAAUGGUGGGAUACUACCCUGGCUGUAUGACCAUUCUAACCCGCCACGCUUAGCGCGUGGGGAGACAGUGUCAGGUGGGCAGUUUGACUGGGGCGGUCGCCUCCUAAAGAGUAACGGAGGCGCCCAAAGGUUCCCUCAGAAUGGAUGGAAAUCAUUCGCAGAGUGUAAAGGCACAAGGGAGCUUGACUGCGAGACUGACAAGUCGAGCAGGGACGAAAGUCGGGCUUAGUGAUCCGGUGGUUCCGCAUGGAAGGGCCAUCGCUCAACGGAUAAAAGCUACCCCGGGGAUAACAGGCUUAUCUCCCCCAAGAGUCCACAUCGACGGGGAGGUUUGGCACCUCGAUGUCGGCUCGUCGCAUCCUGGGGCUGUAGUCGGUCCCAAGGGUUGGGCUGUUCGCCCAUUAAAGCGGCACGCGAGCUGGGUUCAGAACGUCGUGAGACAGUUCGGUCCCUAUCCGUCGCGGGCGCAGGAAAUUUGAGAGGAGCUGUCCUUAGUACGAGAGGACCGGGAUGGACACACCGCUGGUGUACCAGUUGUUCCGCCAGGAGCAUCGCUGGGUAGCUAUGUGUGGCAGGGAUAAACGCUGAAAGCAUCUAAGCGUGAAGCCCCCCUCAAGAUGAGAUUUCCCAUUUCUUCGGAAAGUAAGAUCCCUGAAAGAUGAUCAGGUAGAUAGGUUUGGAGUGGAAGUGUAGCGAUACAUGGAGCGGACAAAUACUAAUCGAUCGAGGACUUAACCAAAA
rnacentral:rRNA from 1 species